rnacentral:rRNA from 1 species
GAUGAACGCUGGCGGCGUGCUUAACACAUGCAAGUCGAACGAUGAAGCCCAGCUUGCUGGGUGGAUUAGUGGCGAACGGGUGAGUAACACGUGAGUAACCUGCCCUUAACUCUGGGAUAAGCCUGGGAAACUGGGUCUAAUACCGGAUAGGAGCGUCCACCGCAUGGUGGGUGUUGGAAAGAUUUAUCGGUUUUGGAUGGACUCGCGGCCUAUCAGCUUGUUGGUGAGGUAAUGGCUCACCAAGGCGACGACGGGUAGCCGGCCUGAGAGGGUGACCGGCCACACUGGGACUGAGACACGGCCCAGACUCCUACGGGAGGCAGCAGUGGGGAAUAUUGCACAAUGGGCGCAAGCCUGAUGCAGCGACGCCGCGUGAGGGAUGACGGCCUUCGGGUUGUAAACCUCUUUCAGUAGGGAAGAAGCGAAAGUGACGGUACCUGCGGAAGAAGCACCGGCUAACUACGUG